rnacentral:misc_RNA from 1 species
AACGUUUGUUUAGUAGAUUUAUUAGACCCUUUAAAAUAUUUGAAACAGCGUGCGGCUCUUGUUAUUUGGCGUAACAGUGAGAUAUCGUUAAUAAGGUACAGAGUACGAAGCUCAAGGAGAGCGAAGCGAUCAAGAUCGAUUUAAAAUUCACAAUUCAACCGUUCCCCCUCGCGGUCUCGACUCGCUCCCUACGUUCUGCGAACGAAUCGGAUCGUGGUGCAAGCGCGAGUUCUCGUCUCGUCCACGUGUUUCGUCGCGUGUUCGCCAAAAUGGCGGGAACGCGAUACCAAUAGCUGUUGCGAUCAAACGCCGUCGAUCGAUCUCUAGCGACAUCGUAACGGAGAACCCAAUCUCGAACAUAUCGAGUUUAUUGCGGUGCUGGAUCUUCUUAAUUUUUACGUUAUUUUAGGUGAAGAAUACGGUGCAUCACUUAGAUUAGACGAGAGAGAGAGUAAAAUCGAAAAAUCCAUAUAUCUUAUGAGAAGAAAUCGAUUAUCAGCCGAUCGCCUUUCUUUUACAGUGACACAGGCGAUCGAGACAUCAAGAGACUCGAAUAGAGUUUAAUUAGUCGAGAAAAUCGUCGUUUAUCUGAGAGAUGGAGCACGAUUCUUGCGUUCUUUAAUCAACAAGAUCGUUUAAUUAGCGAUCGUGUCUCCGUCUCUCCCACCAACCUCUCGUGUCUUGCUUCGCGCGAAUCGCAAUUCGCAGAGAUUUAUCGGUAGACACUGUAGCGCAGUUAACGAAGGAAGUUAGACGACGCGUCGCUUGCUGGGACCUUAUGUUACACGAAACGCGAGCCGGUUCUCUCGCGUUCACGUUACACACUGCGUCGUUCAUUCCGCUUGCUACGAAGACGCUUAAAAAUAUCAGCACUAUGACGUCUGAUGGUGUAUCAACGUAGAUUUUCUUUCUUUAACGAUCGACUGUACCGUUGCAAUUAAAGAGGAUGGGAUGGGGAAAAGAAAAUCGUUCCUUCGCGUGUUGCUAUAAUAAAUCGAUACUCGUUGCUGCGAAUUGAUAAAAGAACAUAUAGACUCGAUCGAUGUAUCGUUGAGGCUGUUCGGAUAUGGGUAACGUAAAAUCACACCAGACGUAUCUACGAAUCUUGUGGCAGAUGAGAUUAGAGCUUGUCGUAAAGGUCCUCUGACAUUGGCCGAAGAUAA